rnacentral:rRNA from 1 species
AAGUCAGAUGUGAAAGCCCGGGGCUCAACCUCGGAAUAGCAUUUGAAACUGGCAGACUAGAGUACUGUAGAGGGGGGUAGAAUUUCAGGKGKAGCGGUGAAAUGSGUAGAGAUCUGAAGGAAUACCGGUGGCGAAGGCGGCCCCCUGGACAGAUACUGACACUCAGAUGCGAAAGCGUGGGGAGCAAACAGGAUUAKAUACCCUGGUAGUCCACGCCGUAAACGAUGUCUACUUGGAGGUUGUGGCCUUGAGCCGUGGCUUUCGGAGCUAACGCGUUWAGUAGACCGCCUGGGGAGUACGGUCGCAAGAUUAAAACUCAAAUGAAUUGACGGGGGCCCGCACAAGCGGYGGAGCAUGUGGUUUAAUUCGAUGCAACGCGAAGAACCUUACCUACUCUUGACAUCCAGAGAACUUUCCAGAGAUGGAUUGGUGCCUUCGGGAACUCUGARACAGGUGCUGCAUGGCUGUCCKUCAGCUCGUGUUGUGAAAAUGUUGGGUUAAGUCCCCGCAACRAGCGCAACCCCUUAACCCUUGGUUUGMCARCGAGAAAUGGCGGGAAMUCCMRGGRARAAUGGCCGGUGAAAAACCGGAAGAAGGGGGGGACGACCGCCAKUCAUCUUGGGCCCUUACGAAUAAGGGUUACCC